rnacentral:rRNA from 1 species
UCCAGACUCCUACGGGAGGCAGCAGUGGGGGAUAUUGCACAAUGGGGGGAACCCUGAUGCAGCGACGCCGCGUGGGUGAAGGAGCGUUUCGGCGCGUAAAGCCCUAUCGGCAGGGAAGAAGGAGGACGGUACCUGACUAAGAAGCCCCGGCUAACUACGUGCCAGCAGCCGCGGUAAUACGUAGGGGGCAAGCGUUAUCCGGAUUUACUGGGUGUAAAGGGGGCGCAGACGGCAGCGCAAGCCAGGAGUGAAAGCCCGGGGCCCAACCCCGGGACUGCUCUUGGAACUGCGCGGCUGGAGUGCAGGAGGGGCAGGCGGAAUUCCUGGUGUAGCGGUGAAAUGCGUAGAUAUCAGGAGGAACACCGGUGGCGAAGGCGGCCUGCUGGACUGCGACUGACGUUGAGGCCCGAAAGCGUGGGGAGCAAACAGGAUUAGAUACCCGAGUAGUG